CUGGCUCAGGACGAACGCUGGCGGCGUGCUUAACACAUGCAAGUCGAGCGAGGCCCUCCUUCGGGGGGUGCCCUAGCGGCGAACGGGUGAGUAACACGUGGGCAACCUGCCCUCAGCUCUGGGAUAACUCCAAGAAAUUGGUGCUAAUACCGGAUGUGACCGCUGACCGCAUGGUCUGGUGGUGGAAAGAUUCAUCGGCUGAGGAUGGGCCCGCGGCCUAUCAGCUUGUUGGUGGGGUAAUGGCCUACCAAGGCGACGACGGGUAGCCGGCCUGAGAGGGUGACCGGCCACACUGGGACUGAGACACGGCCCAGACUCCUACGGGAGGCAGCAGUGGGGAAUAUUGCGCAAUGGGCGAAAGCCUGACGCAGCGACGCCGCGUGAGGGAUGACGGCCUUCGGGUUGUAAACCUCUUUCAGUAGGGACGAAGCGCAAGUGACGGUACCUACAGAAGAAGCACCGGCCAACUACGUGCCAGCAGCCGCGGUAAUACGUAGGGUGCAAGCGUUGUCCGGAAUUAUUGGGCGUAAAGAGCUCGUAGGCGGUCUGUCACGUCGGCUGUGAAAACCCGAGGCUCAACCUCGGGCCUGCAGUCGAUACGGGCAAACUAGAGUACUGCAGGGGAGACUGGAAUUCCUGGUGUAGCGGUGAAAUGCGCAGAUAUCAGGAGGAACACCGGUGGCGAAGGCGGGUCUCUGGGCAGUAACUGACGCUGAGGAGCGAAAGCGUGGGGAGCGAACAGGAUUAGAUACCCUGGUAGUCCACGCCGUAAACGUUGGGCGCUAGGUGUGGGGGCCAUUCCACGGUCUCCGUGCCGCAGCUAACGCAUUAAGCGCCCCGCCUGGGGAGUACGGCCGCAAGGCUAAAACUCAAAGGAAUUGACG
rnacentral:rRNA from 1 species